rnacentral:rRNA from 1 species
AUUGAACGCUGGCGGCAGGCCUAACACAUGCAAGUCGAACGAGUGGCGGACGGGGGAGUAAUGUCUGGGAAACUGCCCGAUGGAGGGGGAUAACUACUGGAAACGGUAGCUAAUACCGCAUACCAUCGGAUGUACCCAGAUGGGAUUAGCUAGUGGGUGGGGUAACGGCUGACCUAGGCGACGAUCCCUAGCUGGUGGGAUAGGAUGACCAGCCACCCUGGAACUGAACCACGGUCCAGACUCCUCCGGGAGGCAGCGGUGGGGAAUAUUGCACAGUGGGCGCAAGCCUGAUGCGGCCAUGCCGCGUGUAUGAAGAAGGCCUUCGGGUUGUAAAGGACUUUCAGCGAGGAGGCGGUACUCGCAGAAGAAGCACCGGCUAACUCCGUGCCAGCAGCCGCGGUAAUUC